AAUCAUCCUACCCAAAGGGGAGGAAAGUCUCUUUGAAAGCAUUUCUCCUAGCCUGCUCAGAGAAGAUGCUCAUUUUCAGAAUUUUUAAGAAACAGGAAAAAAUAUAGACAAGAUUAUACAGAGAGGGGAAGAAUGAGAAGAGAAGAGAAGGAUAAUAAGAAUUCUGAGGAACAUCAACAUUUAAAACGGAAAUGAAGAAAAGCCUGCGAAGAAGACUGCAAAGGUAGGCCAAGACCUAAAGGUGGUUCUGGAAUUAUUUGAUAUUGGGUGGCAGAUGAGGAAACUGGAGCAAGGAGAGGAUUUUGCUCCAAAGUCUAAUGGCUAACUGAGCUGAGGUUUGAAUCCAGGCAAUAGUCACCAGAGCUGCACUCACAAACUCAAAACUGUAGUGUGAGGAAGGUGGAUCACAUGCUUUGGAAGUAUUUCAGGCUGGGAAGUCUUCCAGUUUCUGGAAGAAAGAUAUGAUAAAGCCCAUAACAGAGGAUAUGGGAGCCAGCCAAGGAAGUGAACCCAUACACAUGUUCCCAGCUUCUACAGAGGGCCAAAUUCUGAUAGGAAAUUCUUUACGUGUGUGUGUGUGUGUGUGUGUGUGUGUGUGUGUAAUUUUAAGUUCUGGGAUACAUGUGCAGUAUGUGCAGUUUUGUUACAUAGGUAUACAUGUGCCAUGGUGGUUUGCUGCACCACUGAUAGGAAAUUAGGUAGCCACACACACAAGUAUAGACAUGGCUACUGAGUAAGACUUAUGAAAAUCUAGCUCUUAGCACAACUGUAAGCACAGAAUGAAUUUAGCAAACUUUUCCACAUCUCUGCAGACAAAGCCCUGGUUUUUAGUACAGACAUCCUGAAAGGUUACUUAUCCUGAUGUCAGGUGUAGCCUUGAGAAGUCCAGUGAUUCAAUGUUCAGGAAGAAAAUGUGUGAAAUGUAUCUCAACAAAUUGAGCCUGCUGUUUAGGAGGCUUUGCAUCCAUUUUUAAGGAAAAUUAUUCAUAACUACUCAAACCCAAGCAUGCAAGUCUGUAGCUAAAGAAUUCCAAGGGCAAAGGGUUUUCCAGGUGAAGCCAAAUGUAACCUUUAGAUAAUUGAGAGUAGCAAUAUCACAGAAAAAGAACUUCAAGCUUUGUUGCUAUUGUUUAGUGUCAGCAUGAGAGUUUUCAUCCUGAAUUGCUCUUAAAUCCUGAUUCAUUUGAAAAUUAAUCCAAAUGUCUUCCCACCAACUCUUCUCCCUUCUGGUAAAUUUUAUUAAGCAAUAAAUUCACAUCAAACAUUAUUUAUUGGGAAACAUCAGAUGAAACCAUUCAAAUUUUACUAUACAGUAGAUAUACCAAAGAAGUCAGCAUUCCCCCUUCAUAUUUUUUCAUGAGGAGGGCCACUGAGAUCUUUUCUCCUCAAGACAUGACUCCUCAGGAAGGGGUCUUGGCACCAAUAUGCAGGAGGAUGCUUGCAGAGCUGGGACUUUGGCAUUUUAAAAGCCACGUGGCUCUAGGCAUGCUCCAAGUGUUCCUAGCUCAAGUCUUAUAGUUAAGUCCAGAUUUCACAGCCGAAGGCACUGAGCUGCAAGCUUCCUCGCCAAAGGCCCAAAGCAGUAAGCAGAAGGUGCUUCCUGGCCCUGACUCAACUGGUGCAGAAGGACACCCUAUUGAUGGUGAUGCAGGAGCAGCUCUGAGCCUUCUCUGAGUGAUCCGGAAAGCAUUAUCCUACCCAAAGGGGAGGAAAGUCUCUUUGAAAGCAUUUCUGCUCAGAGAUGAAGACAAAAACCAUAAUGGGAAGGACCAAUAUCCCAAACAUCACUGACAUUACCUGGGUGUUCUGCUUGCAAAAACAUUUUGCUAAUAAAAAGAAAACGUGAUCCCAUCACUAACUGUCCCUAAAGCAAGUCAUCUGCCUUUUCAUGGUCUCAAGGGGCUCAUCUGUAAAAUGAAGAGUUGAACUAAAUGAUGGUUGAGGUUCC